UACAGAGGUCUCAAGCGUUGUUCGGAUUCAUUGGGCGUAAAGGGUGUGUAGGGGGCGCCGUAAGUCGGGGGUGAAAUUUCGGAGCUUAACUGCGGAACUGCAUUGGAAACUAUUUGACUAGAGGAAUGGAGGGGAGACUGGAAUACUUGGUGUAGCAGUGAAAUGCGUAGAUAUCAAGUGGAACACCAGUGGCGAAGGCGAGUCUCUGGACAUUUCCUGACGCUGAGGCACGAAAGCCAGGGGAGCAAACGGG
rnacentral:rRNA from 1 species